rnacentral:lncRNA from 1 species
GGGGACAUAAUCAAAACACAAAUCAUCUAUGGGUAACCCUGCUGACCCGCACCCAACCCCGGAUGAGGCGUACGAAAAACUCUAGGAGCCCCUAUCCUACAACCCUGAUUCUAGACCUCCAGACUUUCCUUAAGGGUCAUGUCCUCGGAAACCUGCAGUCUAGUCAUGUCCUGCCUAAUCACCUCUCCCCAAUACUUCUUAGGCCUCCCUCUGCCUCGCCGACCGCCAACAAUCUCCAGCCGCUCGCAGCUCCUCACNNN